UACGUAGGGCGCAAGCGUUAUCCGGAAUUAUUGGGCGUAAAGAGCUCGUAGGCGGUGUGUCGCGUCGGCCGUGAAAACCUGCAGCUUAACUGUGGGCUUGCGGUCGAUACGGGCAUCACUGGAGUUCGGCAGGGGAGACUGGAAUCCUGGUGUAGCGGUGAAAUGCGCAGAUAUCAGGAGGAACACCGGUGGCGAAGGCGGGUCUCUGGGCCGAUACUGACGCUGAGGAGCGAAAGCGUGGGGAGCGAACAGG
rnacentral:rRNA from 1 species